UGUGGAUGCAGUCCUGACCAUUCCCAAGGGAACUCUCUUUCCCAUGUGUGGUAUGAAUCUGGCAUUCAACCGUGAAUUGAUUGGACCUGCUAUGUACUUUGGACUCAUGGGUGAUGGUCAGCCAAUCGGGCGUUACGAUGAUAUGUGGGCUGGCUGGUGCAUGAAGGUAUCUCUCAAAAUCUCUUUAGAGCCUGUACAUUUUUAUUGUCUUUUGUGAGUGCAUUUCAUUGAUUUUGCAAUCAAAACACACUGCCUUGUGUUUUCAAAUUUUAGUGGGUCACAUGAGUUGUCAUUGUUGGUUUUGUAGGUCAUAUGUGACCACUUGGGGCUGGGAGUGAAGACAGGAUUGCCCUACAUCUGGCAUAGCAAAGCAAGCAAUCCAUUUGUGAACCUUAAGAAGGAAUACAAAGGAAUAU
rnacentral:lncRNA from 1 species